rnacentral:rRNA from 1 species
UACGUAGGGUGCAAGCGUUGUCCGGAAUUAUUGGGCGUAAAGAGCUCGUAGGCGGUUUGUCGCGUCUGCCGUGAAAGUCCGGGGCUCAACUCCGGAUCUGCGGUGGGUACGGGCAGACUAGAGUGAUGUAGGGGAGACUGGAAUUCCUGGUGUAGCGGUGAAAUGCGUAGAUAUCAGGAGGAACACCGGUGGCGAAGGCGGCUAUCUGGAUAGAGUCUGACGCUGAGGCGCGAAAGCUAGGGGAGCAAACAGG